UACAGAGGUUGCAGAAGUUAAAUGGAUUUGUUAAAGGGCAAGAAAUAGAGAAACACAUAAGGGAAGCAAUUCCAAAAGAUGUUUCCAGAUAUAGAUCCUUUCUCAACUCGCGAGAAGCAAUCAAUUAAGUUAACGAAAAAGCCUGAGAUGGUACAGUAUGCGUCUUGUUUGGAGUCCGAGUUUCACCGGAUAUCGAACAAGCAGCAGCAGCUGUACAAAGAAGAGAAAUUGCAAGGAAGCAUAGUCGGCUCUUUGUUGGUGAGGGCCUGGUUGCACAUGGGAUGGAUUUUUCUGACGCAACGAGGAGUGGUGGUGUGAAACAGAAAAGUAUGGGCGGCACACUACAUCAUAGAGCGCCGAGGGCACUUCACCGACCUGUCAAAAUCUGUCAUGAUUUGUGGAAAGUCAGAGAAUUCAGAUGGAUGGAUGUGUUAGACUUUAUGACUUGAAUGAUGUUUCUGUGGAAACUGACUGUACUGUUAGUGGGCAUAAAACAAGAUGUAUUAAAAGGUUUGUGACAUCAUUUUUUGUAUUUACAGUAAAAACUAGCUGCUGUUGACAGAACUUUACAUUAAACACUAUGAUUGUGGUGUUACAGGCAUUAUAUUAGUCUGUAAGAUUUACAGUUUCCACAAAAAUAUGAAUCAGCGUGACUGUUUUCAACAUUGAUAAUUGAAUGUGAUUGUGUGAUUGAAUGAUGCGAUGCAUCUGAUUUGACUGAACGGUUUCGUCUGAUACACAAACUGUUGUAGUGUUUUCAGCAUCUGUUGUCUUAAUACAUGAGGACAUGAACUUCA